GUCUCAUGAAGUCUGAUGGUUUUAUCAGGGGUUUCUGCUUUUGCGUCUUCCUCAUUCUCUCUUUGCCUGCUGCCAUUCAUAUAAGAUGGGACUUGCUCUUCCUUGCCUUCCACUGUGAUUGUGAGGCUUCCCCAGCCACAUGGAACUGAAAGUCCAGUUAUACCUCUUUCUUUGGUAAACUGCCCAGACUCGGGUACGUCUUUAUCAGCAGCAUGAAAACAGACUAAUGGAGUACGUAAUCAAUUUAGAUGUGAAAAUUGACACUUUUUGAAAACACUAGAGGCAGAGGAAUUCAGGGUUCAGUUGUUUAUAUUUAAGCAACUUUUGUAAUUUAAAGUUGAAACUUAGAAAUGCCACUUUUACUGGGUGCAGUGGCUCACAUCUGUAAUCUCAGCACUUUGGGAGGCUGAGGUAGAAGGAUCCGUUGAGCUCAGGAGUUGGAGACCAGCCUAGGCAACAUGGCCAAAAUUAGCUGGGCAUGGUAGCUCAAGCCUGUAGUCACAGCUAUUCAGGAGCUGAGGCAGGAGGAUUGCUUGAGCCCAGAAGGUCGAGGCUGCGAUGAGCUGUGAUCACACCACUGCACUCCAACCUGGGGGACAGAGCAAGACUCUUUCUCAAAAUAACAACAACCAAAAAAAGGAAUUUAAAAAUAAUAAAAGAAAGAAAAAAGAAAUGCCCAUUCCUAAAAGUCUUUACCCACCUCACAUCUAGUAAUUUCUCACUGGAGACCUUCUCCACAAGCUGCAUUCUCUUGCCAUGGUGCUCAGCUUUCUUUCUCCCUUCUCUGACAUUUCCUCUUCUCUUGCCCUAAUUGCCACCUCUGGCCAUUCUGCAAAAAUUUGUUCACUUAUCUAUCUUCUCUAUCUCAUUAAAAACUAGAUUGUCUCAAACUUUAAAUGUGGAUAGAAAUUACCUGAAAGUCUUGUUUAAAUGCAUAUUCUGGAUGAGUACAUCCAGGGUAGGGCCAGAUAUAUUUCAUUUUUAGUUAAGUCCCCAGGUAAACCUGAUGCUGAUGUUCCACGGACCAUACUGGAAUAGCAAAGUUAUAGACCAUGUUUCAGGGACUUCACUUUCCAAAACUCAAGCUUCUUUUCAAGGUAAUUUCUAAUGUAACAACAGUUCUCACCAUAGGAGUAAUUUCAAUAUCAGCUGUUACCAUAUUUUUUCGUUCUGCUACAUUAAUAGCCAACUCAGUGUAAUAAUACUAAGUAACUACCAGCUGGUGUGUUAGCAGGCAUAGUAAAUUAUGCCCUCCCUCUAUCACAAAGUUUAUUCAGAUAAUUAAAACAACCACACACUUUGUAAUAUAUAUUACCAAAGGUUAAAUAGGCAAUAAGUAUUUAUACUUCUCUUAGAGGAAAAUACAUUAAUUUCAACCUUAAGAGAAAAUGUUUCUAACAGACAUAGUGCCGAAGAAAUAUUCCAUGUGCUUCAUUGAGUUUUAACUAUUUGAACUAUAAGCAGAAGUGCGUUUGUCACUUUUUUUUUUUUUUUUUGGAGAUGGAGUCUCGCUCUGUCGCCCAGGCUGGAGUGCAGUGGCACGAUCUUAGCUCACUGCAAGCUCAGCCUCCUGGGUUCACGCCAUUCUCCUGCCUCAGCCUCCUGAGUAGCUGGGACUACAGGUGCCCACCACCAUGCCCAGCUAAUUUUUUUGUAUUUUUAGUAGAGAUGAGUUUCACUGUGUUAGCUAGGAUGGUCUCAAUCUCCUGACCCUGAGAUCCGCCCGCCUCGGCCUCCCAAAGUGCUGGGAUUACAGCCGUGAGCCACCGCGUCUGGCUGCGUUUGUCACUUUUAAGCUGAGGCAGUUAAAAACAAGUACACCACCUCCAUUGCUCUUUUUUUUUUUUUUUUUUUUUUUUUUUUUUGCAGGAACUUUGGAUGCUAUGUGUUCCAGAUGGUAUAACUAAAGAUGAAAGAGAUUUAUGCAAACCACACUGAACUUUAUAUGGUUAAGAAAUAAUCUCUUAUUUUGCCAAGCCAUCAAGAUUUAGAAAUUUGAAAAUCAAUUUGGAGAUUUGAGGAUUAAUGUGUUAUCACUUCAUAGACCAUCUUAUCUUAACUAAUAUAAAGGUAUGAAACAUUUAAACUAAUACCUGUAACAGAGGUUAUUCAAUAAUGUGCUUGUUUCUUUGUUAAUAAUAAAAAUCAGAGGGCUCUAAUAAAAGUAAAAACACAUAGAUAAAAUAGAGUUGUUCAGGUUUAUUCCUUGAAUAAAAUAACCAAUAAAACAAAAGGGCAAAAGAAAAAAAAACAAAGGCGGUUUUUUAAAUAUUAGAGACUAGCUAUUGAGAAAAAAAAAACACUUUUCUAAAUUAUCCUUUAAAUGGAAAAAUUAAGACCCUGCAAAGCUUUAUGAUAGUUCAAUUCAUGAUUCUAAAAAAGGGAAACAAAAUCAUAAAGUAUGUUAAAACUUGAAUAGUCUUUGGAUAGAUCACCUGGCAUGACUGGGAGGAUGACAAAGAGGAAUUGUCUUUCAAACAGAAGGACCAGCAUGUGAAAAGGCCAUAGGGGAGAAGGGACAGAGAAUGGUCCAUUUUGAGAGGAGAAGCAGGGAAAGGUCAGUUGUAGGAAGAGAUAAGGCUGGAAUCCCCUAGAUUUUGAGCUUUGCAUGCCAAAUUCAGAUUGCAGAAACAGUGAUAGGAGACAAAAAGCAGCAGCUGAUGCUUUUAAAAUUGAUUUUAUAGAAGCAAAUUGCCAUGUUAUGGUGAGGGCCACAUGGCGGGAAUGGUGAGAGGUCUCAGGAGCUGAGGGCCUCAAUCCUACACUUGUGAGGAACUGAAUUCUCCCAACAAUCAGGAAGCCUGGAAGUGGACUUCAAGCUUCAAAUGAGAUCUCAACCAUGACCAACCCAUUGAUUUUAGCCUUGUGAGAUUCUGAGCAACUUAACUGGAUUUGUGCCUGGACUUUUGACCUAUGCAACUGUGAGAUAAUAAAUUGUGUUUUCCUAAGCUGUUAAAUUUUUGGUAAUGUGUUACAAAGCAAUAGAAAAUGAAUACAAAAAGAGAUAGCAUAAUUUUUAAUCAGGCUGAAUGUGGUAAUAUUGCUGCUUUCAUUCCAUUUGCUAGCUAGGGCUGCCAGCUUCCGUUCUAACAGUUGGCUUGGUUGGCUAAUGCCAUCCUAGACCAAUCUUGGCACACACCAAAUAACAUUGAAAAGCCAGACAUUCCUUGGCAUAAUGUAACAGAAAGAAUUCAAAAAGACUAGGAGACAGAAAUUCUGGCUUGAAUUUUUUACGUCACCCCUACCUAUUCUCUCCUCCUCAAUCAUCCCCACUCUCCCCCAAUAUAGAAGAGAAGACUACAUUUUCACUGAUCCUGUGAAAAACGAUUAUUGGAGAAACCACUGGAAUUUUUAAUAAGCAUUUUACUGGCAGUUCUCCCUAGAUCAAACAUGCUGGUGGGAGGGACAGCAAUGGAAAUGAGCCCCCAGAUUUCAAGUGGAAUGGGAAGAAACAGGGGUGGCUGAGCUUAGUUAGCAGCUCUUACUCACCUGAACAAAAACUGGGGUGUGUGUAGUGAUCACAUUUUGGAGAAAGGAUUAACAAGCAGAGAUCUCACGAGAUUGAGAUGAAUAGACAACCCACCGAUUUCUUCACUGUUUCAUGCACAAACUCCCUAUACUAGCAAAUAGAGGCUGUACUUCAACCACAAUAAAAAUAAAUCACUGCCUCUCCUUAAUCACCAAUUUUGAGUUAUCUGACUGAUCCAGAACCUCUUGAGUGAAGGAGAGGAGAGAGGCCCUUAAGGAAGUAUCCUUCUGUUACAGUUUCAUACUAUAAGCUUUUCUCCCAGUUUCUCCAAACUAAAGUAUCUUACCUGAAUAACUACACUGAAGAGAAACAUCCCAAAAACCUUUAGUGAUUAUUAGAUAGUGGGCUUUGAGGAAGCAAAAUGUCUAAGACCUAAUGUAUGCUGAUUAAGGUAUGCUGGUUGGAAUUGAGGCUUAUGCAAGUCAGCUGAUAAGCAGAAUUCUGUCCUAAAACCAUCUAACUAUAGGCCUAAUCAGACUCAAACCCAAAGCUUUCAUUCCUUCCCUAGGACUGAGAGCAGUGGACUCUCAGUGGACUCUUCAGCAAGAGUUUGGUCAUGUUGGAACAUUCCUGCAGAAGUGAGAGAAGUUGUUAUGUACCUGAGUGUCCAUCACUAAGGUAGAAGAAUAAAUUUUGGUAGAUGUCUUAUUUUUGAGGCAUAUUCCAUUUUAAGGUUUUCUACUAUGAUCUAUUUACCACAGGAGUCGAAAGGCUGCCAAAUAUAGAUGGGAACCAUAGUAAGAGAAUGCUCUCCAGCUAGUUCAAAGUUCAAAUCAAGUGGUCUGUCACUUGGCCUAGCCAAUGAUCCAUCAGAUCCAAUUGUGCUCAAAUUUUCUGAAGAGCAAGGUCCUCUUCAGAAGCUGCAGCAAGUUCCAGAAGAGAAAUUUCAGUAGAGAUCUCCACGAUUUGUGCAAGUCUCAUUUCCUUCAGCAAGCAAUUCGUUUUCUUUUGAGAAACUGCUCUUGGGUUUUUUGUUGUUUGUUUGUUUUUUGGGACUUAAGUGGAGUCUGAAAAUCUGACUAUCUGACACCUGGUGACCAUGAGAUGUAAACAGCUCAUCAUAAGCGGGAUGCUGUCUUUUCCAUUGAGCUAUGUAGUUGUGAUAGCAUAAACCAUGCUCAACUGUUAUAAAUAAGAUGAGCCUAAAGGCAUAACUUAGUUGCCAACACAGGUUGGUCACUCUCUUGACUUCCUCCUCACCCUCAAACCCCCUCAUUGGUCUCAUAAGAAGAGAUCUAUGACCAACUAAUCUCUGGCUUACAGAUGUGUUAAUCUGUCUGCAUCACUACAAAGGAAUACUUGAGGGUGGAUAAUUUAUAAAGAAAAGGAGUUUAAUAGGAUCACCAUUCUGCAGGCUGUACAAGAAGCAUGGUGCCAGCAUCUACUCCUGGUGAGGGCCUCAGGAAGCUUCCAAUCAUGGUAGAAGGCAAAAGGGGAGCAGUGGAUCACAUGGCCAGAAUGGGAGCGCGAGCUAGAAGGAGAGGUCCCAGACUUUAAACAACCAGAUCUCACGUGAACCUCUGUGAAUCUCAUAUGAGAAGUCACUCAUCACCUAGGGGCUGGUGCUAAGUUAUUCAUAAGGGACCUACCCCCAUGACCAAAACACCUCCCACCAGGCACCACCUCCUACAAUGGAGGUGCCUUCCCUCCCCUCCCCUUCCGUUCCCUUUCCUUUUCUUUCUUUUCUGUUGCAGGAAGUCAGGGACCCUGAAUGGAGGGACCGGCUGGAGCCACAGCAGAGGAACAUGAAUUGUGAAGAUUUCAUUUUAAUAUGGACAUUUAUCAGUUCCCAAAUUAAUACUUUUAUAAUUUCUUAUGCUUGUCUUACUUUAAUCUCUUAAUCCUGUUAUCUUCCUAAGCUGAGGAUGUACAUCACCUCAGGGCCACUAUGAUAAUUGUGUUAACUGUACAAAUUGAUUGUAAAACGUGUGUUUGAACAAUAUGAAAUCAGUGCACCUUGAAAAAGAACAGAAUAACAGUGAUUUUAGGGAACAAGGGAAGACAACCAUAAGGUCUUACUCCCUGCGGGGUUGGGCAAAAACAGCCAUAUUUUUCUUCUUGCAGAGAGCCUAUAAAUGGAUGAGCAAGUAGGAGAACAUUGCUAAAUUCUUUUCCUAGCAAGGAAUAUUAAUAUUAAGGCCCUGUGAAAGGAAUUCAUUCCUGGGGGGCCGCUUAUAAACGGCCACUCUGGGAACGUCUGUCCUAUGCGGUUGAGAUAAGGACUGAGAUACACCCUGGUCUCCUGCAGUACCCUCAGGCUUACUAGGGUGGGGAAAAAACCUCACCCUGGUAAAUUUGAGGUCAGACUGGUUCUCUGCUCUCGAACCCUAUUUUCUGUUGUUUAAGAUGUUUAUCAAGACAAUAUGUGCACCACGGAACAAAGACCCUUAUCAGUAAUUCUGCUUUUGCCCUUUGCCUUGUGAUCUUUGUUCUCCCUUUUGCCCUUUGAAGCAUGUGAUCUUUGUGACCUGCUCCCUGUUCUUACACCCACUCCCCUUCUGAAAUCCUUAAUAAAAACCUGCUGGUUUUGAGGGUCAGGUGGGCAUCACAGUCCUACAGAUACGUGGCGUCACCCCCGGAGGUGCAGCUGUAAAAUUCCUCUCUUUGUACUCUUUCUCUUUAUUUCUCAGCCAGCCAACACUUAUGGAAAAUAGAAAGAACCUAUGUUGAAAUAUUGAGGGCAGGUUCGGAUUUCCUAGGCCAACUAAGAAUCCCUAAGCCUAGCUGGGAAGGUGACUACAUCCACCUUUAAACAAGGGGCUUGCAACUUAGCUCACACCCGACCAAUCAGAGAGCUCACUAAAAUGCGAAUUAGGCAAAAACAGGAGGUAAAGAAAUAGUCAAUCAACUAUUGCCUGAGAGCACAGCGGGAGGGACAAGGAUCGGGAUAAAAACCCAGGCAUUCGAGCCGGCAAUGGCAACCCCCUUUGGGUCCCCUCCCUUUGUAUGGGAGCUCUGUUUUCACUCUAUUUCACAAUAUUAAAUCUUGCAACUGCCCUCUUCUGGUCUGUGUUUGUUACGGCUCAAGCUGAGCUUUUGCUCGCCGUCCACAACUGCUGUUUGCCGCCGUCGCAGACCCGCUGCUGACUCCCAUCCCUCCGGAUCCGGAAGGGUGUCCGCUGUGCUCCUGAUCCAGCGAGGCGCCCAUUGCCGCUCCUGAUCUGGCUAAAGGCUUGCCAUUGUUCCUGCAUGGCUAAGUGCCCGGGUUUGUCCUAAUCGAGCUGAACACUAGUCACUGGGUUCUACGGUUCUCUUCUGUGACCCAAGGCUUCUAAUAGAGCUAUAACACUCACUGCAUGGCCGAAGAUUACAUUCCUUGGAAUCCAUGAGGCCAAGAACCCCAGGUCAGAGAACACUAGGCUUGCCACCACCUUGGAAGCUGCCUGCCACCAUCUUGGAAGCAGCUCACCACCAUCUUGGGAGCUCUGUGAGCAAGGACCCCCCGGUAACAACCUGAUACUUUUCUUUUCUUUUCUAUUUUUAUUUUUUAUAGAGUCUCAUUCUGUCACCAAGGCUGGAGUGCAGUGGCAUGAUCUCGAUUCACUGCAGCCUUCACCUCCCAGGUCCCAGCGAUUCUCCUGCCUCAGCCUCCUGAGUAGCUGGAAUUACAGGUGGGCACCACCACAUCUGGCUAAUUUUUGUAUGUUUAGUAAAGACAGGGUUUCAUCAUGUUGGCCAGACUGAUCCCAAACUCCUGACCUCAAGUGAUCCACCUGCCUCGGCCUCCCAAAGUGCUAAAGACUUGAGAUUACAGGCAUGAGCCACUGCGCCUGGCCAGAAGUCACUUUUCAACAUGAGAUAUGGAGGGGACAAAACAUCCUAACCAUAUCAACAGACGCCUCUCUGUGGUAUACCAAUAUGAGCCAGAUGUAUACCUCCUAUAAAGCUACAGCCAAAAACUAACAAACUAACCUCUCUCAGGGGUGGUCCUGAGAGGCACUGGAGAAGCAAAACCCUCACUAUGGGCAGACAUAUAAGUGGCAUUUCUCAUUGUUCACUUUGCCUACAAUGAGAAAUUGCCUGAGAUGGUUGCAAAUGGUCUUUCCAGAGGUUCAGUGACUUGUAAAGAGGUAGAUCACAGGCUUAGGGACGAAGUUCAAGCAAGAAUUGUCCCAGAGAUGAGAAUGUUUGUGUUCCAGGUGAACAUUCACAAGACAGCACCACACCAGAGAAGUUAUUAGUAAUAAUGAUGGCAGAAUGACCUACUUAAUGACCAUCAGUUAUGUUUCCUCUCAAGACUAUCUAGUGCAAGGACCACAAACUAAAAAUUCUAAGUGUCCAGUAGGCAGCAUAAACAAAGGAAGAUAAUUUGGUUAAAGACAAUGGGAGAUGCUCAGCAUUGUAGCAAACUGCAGCGGGCACAUUCUAUCUAAAGAAGGCAGAUCACCACACCUGUAAUCCCAGCACUUUGGGAGGCCAAGGCGGGUGGAUCACAAUGUCAGGAGUUCAACACCAGCCUGGCCAACAUGGUGGAACCCCAUCUCUACUAAAAAUACAAAAAUUAGCUGGGCGUGGUGGCAACAUGCCUGUAGUCCCAGCCACUCAGGAGGCUGAGGCAGGGCGACAGAGCAAGACUCUGUUCCAAAAAAAAAAAAAAAAAAGAAGAAGGCAGCUCACAAUCAGCUUCAGCUGAAUCUUACCAUGUUGGGAUGUGCGCCAGUGUUGUCAGAUGUUCCUUCAUUGUUUCUCAAGAGAAGCCAUAAAACCAAAUGUUGACAUGAAAUGUUCCAAUUUUUGAAACGUAUAAGGGCCAAACACAGAAGUUUAUAGGCCACAUAUGGCUUUCGGGUUGCCCCCAGUCUAAUGUUUAUCCAAUAUUUAUUUAAAAAGGAAGCCACAGUGGCAAGGAUGGAGGCUACACAUUGGCCACACUGGAUCUGCCACAUGAACUUUCCUUCACUAAGGCCCACCCAGACUCUCCUUAUAAAAGUAAAAACACCAAAUUUUUCUGCAGGAUUGCUAUUCCUCGAGCUGCUAAAAGUUGAACAUAUCACAUAGUUCAAUCAGAUUAUCCGGUAGAUUGUUGAUUAAGAAGGGCUCUUCCAUCAUGGAGGAGCAGCAUAGGUAGAGACACUUAUUGGGAUUUAAUUUUUCUGUCAGCACAACUAUUGGUAGACUUAUUCAAUGCUUUAUGCUAAGCCACACAACACUACCUCUAAGGAUUUAACACCACAAUUAAAACAAAUCAGUGGAAGGAUUAUAGUUUUCCUUGGCCUUAGUGUAUAUCCUAAUAUCUGGAAGGAGCUAACCUUAUGGAAUGAUGAACUCACCAAUUAUAGAGGGCUCACUCACUGUAAGACACAACACUAUCUUUCAAAAUAUGGUUUUAAAAAAUAUGGUAUGUUCUCUGUACCAGCAAUCAUUAAAAUAUAGUGCUAUCUAGGCAUAGUGGCUCACACCUGUAAUCCCAGCACUUUGGGAAGCUGAGGCCAGAGAAUCCCUUGAGUCCAGGAGUUUAAGAUCAGCCUGGGAAACAUAGCAAGAUCUCAUCUCUACUAAAAAUCAAAAAGAACAUUAGUUGGUGUAAUGGCAUGCACCUAUAGUCCUAGUUACUUGGGAGGCUGAGGUGGAAGGAUCCCUUGAACCUGGCAGGUCGAGGCUGCAGUGAGACAUGAUUGUGCUACUGCACUCCUCCAGCCCAUGCAACAGAAUGAGGCCCUGUCUCAAAAAAUAAAUAAAUAAAUAAAUAAAAGAUUGUAGGCUGGUCCAAUAGUAGUGGGUUAUCAGAACUUGUUAAUAUUAGUAUCAUUAAGUUGAUACACAACCUCCAACUGGCAAAUUUGACUGGCUUAAAAUAAAAUAAAAUACAGCACUAUUUUACUAAAGCCAAAAUACACAGAUCCAGAAUAAAGGGAAAAAGGAAAGAAGUACUUGUCAUGAUAUGAUGUUUAAUGACUGCUAUGGCUGACCCCAAAAGAUGCUGAAGUUGUAAUUCCCUAGUACCUGUAAAUAUGACCUUAUUUGGAAAUAGGGUCUUUGCAGAUGAUCAAAUUAAGAUGAGGUCAUUAGGGUAGGCCUUAAUCCAGUGAGUCUGGUGUCCUUAUAAAAAGGGGAAAUGUGGGCACAGAGACAGACAUGUACAGAGGGAAAACGAUGUGAAGACACAGGAAUAAUGCCACCCCAAAGCCAAGGAACAUCUGAGGUUACCAGGAGCUAGGAGAAAGCAUGAAACAUAUUCUCCCCUCACAGCCCUCAGAAGAAACCAACCUUCCUGAUACCUUGAUUUUGGACUUCUAGACUUCAAAAUUGUGAGACCACAACUUUCUGUUGUUUAAACCACCUACUUUGUGGUACUUUAUUAUGGCAGUCCUAGGGGACUAAUACAGUUACCUAAUCUCAAAUUUUUUACAUUCCGUCCUCACAACUGCAUUCGGCUCACCUACAAAUUUGGAAACCAAGAAUGGUUUCCAAGGAAUGCAUUCACUAGGGGAUCUAACAUAUUUUCCACUGAAUUAUAAGCUCAGACUGCUGUGUUGCCAUUUGAAGCUCUUUACCUGCUGAAAAAAAAUAAAGAAAUAAAAAUCAGAGGAUUAUGUUAGAAGGAAGACAAUAAUCCAGGCAAAAUAGUGUUGUUGCCACAUACUAAUCAGGGUUAGGUGUGAAGCCCCUCCAGGAUGACUACUGUCCACAGGAGAAAUAGGAAAAGAAACAAUGGAUGGACCACCCACAGGUAGGGACAAUAAGGGCUCGGAUUCUUCCUGAAUAUGCUAUGGUUCAUCUUAUUGAGCAAACACAAACAUGAGGCACUUGCAUCCUGAGGGCAAGAGAGCUAUGAAAUGGGUAGGGAAAGAGUCAUAAAUACCAGCUCAUGCUUGUAACCAAGGGAGAGAAAGGCAAGCCCUAAAACCAUUACCUGUAUUCCCUUGCCUGUUUUUUUUGUUUUUGCUUUUGUUUUCUUUUUUUUUUUUUUUUUUUGCAUAUAAGAUGUGUUGGUACACUAUAAUGUAUCAUUUUAUCCAUAAAGCAUAGCACAGAAAUACAGGAAUCAUGGCCAUCACUUGAUGAUACCUAGGAAAUGGAAGCCUCAAGCCUUCCUCUCUGAAUGUGGUGCCUGGAACCAAUUGAGGAGAGGGUUCUUUCUCUGUGCAGUAGUUAUUUGCAUUAUAUCAGAUAAAUAUUUUCAAAUGGUGUGUAUGGAAAGAAGGGCAAGUGUAUUUGUUAGACAGCCAAUAAUUAGAAUAUGUAGACUUUUCUUAUUUCUGUGUCCUUCCCAGCAUCCAUUCUUUUGUGGGAACUGUUCUUCCGGCACUCUGUGCAAUUCUAGUGAGCUGUCGAUCACAGGACUCCAGUGCCAGGCUAAGCCAAAAUGAUCAGGGCCUCCUAGGAAUUUGAGCUGUUCACAGAGACACAUAGGACUGGAAGACAGAAUUGAGUCAUCUGAUUGGCAGCUCCUCAAGUACUGUCACAUGAGUUCCCACUGUAUAGGUCACCUAAAUGUUCGCAUUCCUUCUGUAGGCCUGGCUUCUGUAGGCCUGGCUGUUCAGCUAGCCAUUCAGUAGCCUUCCAAUAAAUUAUUUAACUGCUCCUUCCUUCCUUCCUCUCUUUUUUCUUUUCCUUUUUUCUUUCCUUUAGUUAGCAAUAGUUCAUUACUGUUGCUUAUAGGCAAAGAAUACUGUAUUAUCAGGCAUAAUAUUUUGAAGGUUUAAGUAUGUAUAUAGAUCGCUCAAGCUGCAAAAAUAUAAACUUGAUGAACAGAAAAGGUCUAUUGUUUCUUAGCACAGAAUUAAUAGUAAGAGAAUGUGGCAUAGGGUUUGAUGUUGUAUUACUGUAUAUUAGAAAUUGUUUCUAACUCUUCCAGCACAAACUCCAACUGUAACCUAACCUUGAUAAAAUCUCUCCAUCAGUGCAACAUUUUGGACUUUUUAGUAAAGAUAAUUUAAGAAAAGAUAAGCCUUCAUAACUAGUAAAAGGAAUAGUUAGAGAAAGAAAGAAGAGGGUACAAAAGAGGAGGAAAAUAUGAGUCAGUAGUGUCUAGAGUAGCCUGCACUGGCCCAGGGUGGCAGUCUAGAUAAGGCCAAAUUAGCACAGCCAAAGGGACAUCCUCUUUCUCCUAUUUCCUCACCACAUGCCUUAAGUGGGAAAUGAUUAAAAUAUGUAGACAGUAUCUAUUUUAUUUUUAUUAUUUUUGGAGACAGGAUCUCGCUCUAUCACCCAGGCUGGAGUGCAGUGGCAUAAUCAUGCUCACUGCAGCCUCAACCUCCUGGGCUCAAGUGAUCUUCCCACCUUAGACCCCUGAGUAGCUGGGCCUACAAGUGUGUACCAACACAUCCGGCUAAUUUUUUUUUUUAAUUUCUUUUGUAAAGACGGGGUCCCACUAUGCUGCCCAGGCUGGUCUUGAACUCCUGGCUUCACGCGAUCCUUCCUCCUCAGCCUCCCAAAGUGCUGGGAUUACAGGCAUGAGCGGCUAUGACCGGGUGACAGUAUAUAUGUUAAAUAUAGAGAUUCUCAUCUCUCUCUCUCAUACAUAUAUGUAUGUAUAUAUAUGUAUUCUGGAAAAUUAGUUAAUAUCUCUGAACAAUUUCUUUUUUUAUUUUUAAAACAAAUAAGUUGAAUUAGAUUAUUUCUAAUAACUCUUUCUAAAAUAAAGCUAUGAUUUGUAAAUGUUUUUCUUUAAAUCACAACUAUAAGCCAGCCAUGGUGGUGCAUACCUACAGUCCCAGACACUCAGAAGGCUGAUGGGAGGAUUCCUUGAGGCCAGGAGUUCAAAGCUGUAGUGCCCUAUAAUAGUGCCUGUGAAUAGCCACUGCACUCCGGUCUGGGCAAGAUUUUUUUUAAUCACAAAAAUAUUUUUUUAAUCGUCCUUAGCUUUCUAUGGCCUAAACAAUGAAUUAUAGGCUGGAUAAGGUGGCUCACUCCUGUAAUCCCAGCACUUUGGGAGGCUGAGGUGGGCAGAUCACUGGAGGUCAGGAGUUCAAGACCAGCCUGGCCAACAUAGUGAAACCCUGUCUCUACUAAAAAUACAAAAAUUAGCCGGGUAUGGUGGUGCAUGCCAGCUGGUGCAAUACCAGCUACUUGGGAGGCUGAGGUGGGGGGAUCACUUGAACCCAGGAGGCAGAGGUUGCAGUGAGCUGGGAUCACGCCACUGCACUCCUGCACUCCAGCCUGGGCAACAGAGCAAGACUCCAUCUCUAAAUAAAUAAAUAAAUAAAUAAAUAAAUAAAUAAAUAAAUAAAUAAUUCUAAAUAAAGAACUACACAAUGAAUUACAAAUAAAAUAUUUACAGCUCUAAUUAUAUCUCAGAUUUAAAAUCAUAUGGAGGCUGGGCACAGUGGCUCACACCUGUAAUCCCAGCACUUUGGGCAGCCAAAGUAGGCAGGCCGCUUGAACCCUGGAGUUCAAGACCAGCCUAGGCAAUAUGGCAAAACACCAACUCUACCAAAAAAACAAAACAAAAUAAAAACCACACACACACACACACACACACACACACACACACACACACACAUAAAUUAGCUGGGUGCGGUGCUAGAUAGGUGCUGAUCUGGGAGGAUCCCAUGAGCUCGGGAGGGGGAGGUUGCCAUGAGCUAUGAUCAUGCCACUGCACUCCAGCCUUAGUGACAGAACUAGACCGUCUCAAAAAAGUAAAUAAAUAAAAAUAAAGUAAAAUCAAAUCAUAUGGAUUAAAAACAUCACAUCUAUAUCCAAAUUUCCUCAUAAGUAAACCACAGAUGACUUUUAAUCCAAUUAAGCAAUCAAAAACUUUUAACUGAAAGCAUUAUGGGGCCAACUAUUCUUUAUGUGAUAUACUUGAAGAAUUAAUUUAUCUGCUCUAUCAGUGUUAUAUAUAACAAGUGUAAUUCCCCAUAUGUUUAUAUAUAAUACACAUACACAAACCCAUAUAAUUUUUACCUCUGCCUAGAUUCAGUCAAAAUGUAACAAUCUCUACAAAGAGAAAAAGCCUAGCAAAUUUCUAUGAUGACAAGGAGUUAAGUGUGGCAAGCUACUUUGCCUUUCUCCUCUCCAAAACACUAGCUAUGAAGCAAAUAUUUAAUUGUCCUAAUGAACUAUUUAGGUAAUAAGCGCAUGUAGUUACAAAUUGGCUGAAUGAUAGGGGUUUGAAUGCUGAAGUUUUGCAAUUGUAGCUGUUUAAUGUAAGAUCAAAAAAUAAUGUUUUAGUCCCAAGUUAGAUUUUUAAAGUACUGCAUUCAUCCUGAUGACUAACUAAUAGAAACUAGUGGAAUGUUAGCAAAUUGAUAUAUAAUUUUCUAGAAAUUUCCAUCUUCAAAAAGUUUACUUUGGAGCUCUAGACUCCUAAAAGUUAUUUGUAAUUCAGAGUUCUCACUCCUGUUCCAAUCCCUGAAAAUAAAACAUAGAACAAGAAGUCAUUUUUGGCCAGGUGCGGUGGCUCACGCCUGUAAUCCCAGCACUUUGGGAGGCCAAGGCGGAUGGAUCACCGGAGGUCAGGAGCUCGAGACCAGCCUGGCCAACAUGGUGAAACCCCGUCUCUAGUAAAAAUACAAAAAAAAAAAAAAAAUAGCCGGGUGUCGAAGCAGGCACCUGUAAUCCCAGCUGCUCGGGAGGCUGAGGCAUGAGUAUCACUUGAAGCCGGGGGGCGGAGGUUGCAUUGAGCGGAGAUCCAGCCACUGCAGUCCAGCCUGGGCAGCAGAGCGAGACUCACCCUCAAACAAACAAACAAAAAGGCGUUUUUAUUCAAUAAACACACUUACAACUUUAGAAAACAAAUUAACUGACCACUAAAAUGUACUAAUUGCCUUGGUAUUCCUUAUAUAUUUUUCAGAGAAAACUCAAUAUCCUGUCUUGAAUCCGGGCAUAAGGACAUAAAGAACCUGAAACACAAAGAUAAAGAAUUCAUGCCACCACCUCAGAUCAGUGGCAUGCAGUGUUAAAAAAUCCUCAGUACAAACGAUCUGAGAAAUAGAAUACAGUAUUUAACAGUCCUUUUGAUUUCAGGGUUAGAAAGUGACAUAUAUCUACUGCUAUACAAACCCUCAGUCAUCCUAAAACAUUUCGUUAAUGUGAGACAAGCAAACCAAGCUCAAAGUCCAGAAAUUGCAAAAGGGAGGCAGGUUUCAGGAGACGGGUGCAGGUUGGGGGCAGGCGCUUGGACAAAGGGAAGACACAGUGUGUUACCUUUUCUUCCCUACUCAUAAGCUAGAAUCUGCUCAUCCUAGUUCUCUGACUGGGAACUUCAGCUUUGAAGGGAAAUGGGCAGGUGUUCUCAUCCCUCCAUUGAUACUUAGUGUCAUCUAGGUUCUUAGAUCUGUCCUGUAGGCAAUACAUUCUCGCAACUGUGCAAAUAGUGAUCCUGCCCCACCAUUGCACUGCCUGCUCUAUCCACGGCUGUUUCCAUCCGCUGGGUGUCUGUCGGUACUUACUGGAAACUUUCUAGGAGGCUGCAGCUCUAGAGAAGAAAAUCCUACCAACCAGGGCACGCAGUUCAGUCGACAAUGCUGGGGAAGGGAGAAGAGACGCUAUUGAUUACUCACAGUUUGCCUCUGAGACGGGAAGCACUAGGAGGAGACACGCCAGCAGC
rnacentral:lncRNA from 1 species